rfam:Cucumber mosaic virus (strain Mf), complete RNA1 segment
GGCGCCUUUGAAACCAUCUCCUAGGUUUCUUCGGAAGGACUUCGGUCCGUGUACUUCUAGCACAAGGUGCUAGUUUAGAGUACGGGCAUCCCCCCGUUUUGCGGGGGUCUCUAAAAGGAG